CUAUGAAAAUGCCGAUAAUGUCGUUUCCUGACUGCUGAGUAGUAAACCUCAAAGGUUGAAACUGUUGUUUACUUGUCCAUCAUUAAAGUCUUAGAUCAUAUUAAAGUGAACGUUUUUUUUGGUCACAUUUCGUAUUGCAAUUGAAGAUAAAGUCAUUCCAAGACGAGAAGUUGUACAAGAAACUUGAGACAAAUACUAACAGAAGAUUCUUUCGGACUGUUUUUGAAAAGCAGACCCAUUCUGCCACAAGAGACAAGGGUUUUAAACUUCUUUACAAAUCCGUGGCGGAUAUUCAGUAAUUAGAAGGACAUCCUUAUCACAAGAAGCAAAUGUACAUUAGUAGAUUUUGUAGUAUCAAUUUGUUAAACGAUUUGUGUUUGUUUAUCCGCAGUAUAAGUUAUGCAUGCUUUUUGGAGAUGUAUUUAUGUCCUUAGAUAUAAAUUUCAUGUUUCCAAGAGGUUCGAAUUUGGCAAAUAAACAGAUAAUUAAGUCUUCAA